AGGUAGUCAUUUCAUUAUCAUAUCUGAAAAAUUCAUCUCUACUGUACCACAGUGAAGCUUAGCAAUGGAUGAUGCUCUGACAUUCAAUAAAUAAAAUAAAAAAGGAACAUCCCCAGCAUGACACAUGCUCUAGUUUGCGCUCCAUAGAGUACUAGAGAAGGUGAUAGCUAAUAUCAACUAGCUGAUUCCCAGUUACAAAAACGAGUUAGCAAGCAACAUGUUUCAGUUACAAAAAAGAAAAUGAUGGACCCAAUAAUAGCCUAAGCAAACUAGCAAGGUCUUGUCCUCCGGAGUGGCGUCCUCUAGGGCUCCAUCAUCUAUGACCUUUUCCCCUUCAAUAAGGCCUGGAACUCUUUUGCUGAGUUGAGAGUGUUUUGCGGGUGCUUGAAAAGCUUUGCUGCAACAAACGCCCGGAACUUGAGCAACGACCUCGUAUCCUGAUGCAAAAGAAAAAAAAGAUACACAUGAUAAGACAUUAGCUGGGCAGGUGAAUGGUGUUAGCAAAAAGAGUAUGUUUCGCUGCUAGCGUUGCACAAACAAAUCCUAUACACAUGAUCUUUAGCUACUAGUGCUGCAUAGCAAAAAAUGGGUCGUACCGUGUUGAAUGGAUUCAUCCCCCUGGAGUCAGAUUCUCCAUGUAUAGAAUAGCGAAAAACCCACAAUCAAACCUGCCACCAAAUAAACACAAAAAAGGAGAUGAGGUUUGCUUCCCCUGAAACAAAUGCAAACUUCUGUGGAUGGGCACAUGGAAAACAAAGGAAAAAUGAAAAAAUAAUUAAAAUACAUUGUAGACUGUUGCGGAUACCCAUCUGGGCUGAAACAAACAAAUGUAUCAAGGUCGUGCUUCCAUGGGUUUUGUUCUCUGACCCAAAGUUUUAAAGUUUGCUAUCUGCACAUUUGGUAUUGGAAAAAAGAAAAGAGAUAUAAGCAAGUGAUGCAGUGGCAUCUUUUUUGAUUUGUACCGCAAACAUAAAAUUGAUACAAAGAAAAAAAGGAAUGACCAGAAAAGAUGGAAGGGGUGUAGCGCCCAUACCAGAUUGCGACAUGGCUCCUCAAGAACACUGACGUAGUCAGGAUCGUCACUCCUGGAAUCAAACACAUUGAAUUGUUUUUGCAUCAAGUUUGCAACCACAACUGCCCAAUGCCCGUCCUGGACAAUUGUGAAGAAGAGCUGCAAAAUUAAAAAAGAAAAAAAAUUCAAAAACCCAUAGCAUGUUGCGCUAAAAGAUAGCUCUGAUGCAAGAACAAAAAUGUUUUACCUGAUCACCAUUUGCAAUGUUGUUCCUUUCACAGGCCCUUUUGAAAUCUUUGAUGCAAGACCCUGUCUGAAAAGAAUUCGGCUCCACAGCAAGCUUGGUCUAUUGUAUACAAACAAAUCUAUUGAUUAGAACUGAAUGUUGCGGACAGAAACACAAGUGAUAAAAAAGGGGAAAAAGAGUAGUUGACUCACAGCCAUAUGCGGCGAGAAUGCAAACUUUCUAGGCUUGCUUGAGCUGUACAUGUGCUCGAUGUUGAAACUUUCAAUGUAUAGUGACAUCGCCUCAUUGUUCAAAUGUGCGCGCUUUUUGAGGCUGUUGCCGAAAUGUUUGAAAGAAACAUCAAACCCGCCUAUCCUAAUGAAUGGAGGGCUACAUAUUGCAAAAAAAGAAAGUGGGUCGGUUAGAGGUAAAGAAUUUUUUUCUCUACAUACAAAAAGAGAGUACAAAAACCCUUACAGUGGCUCGCCUUUUGGUGGGUCCUUAAUAUGGUAAUUGGUGCAACAGUACUGCUUGUAUAUGGCAUCGUCUGUUGCAUCAAUUUUGAUCUUCUUCAUCUUCUUCAACUUGGGUGCAUUUUCUGGCGAUUUUGUAGCUCUCUUGAGUGUUUCCUUCUUCACAUCGCGGUUGUGCCCGCUGCUAACUUCAAUCACCACCUCCUCUCUUGUCUCAUCAACACCUGCUUCUGUCCCCGCAAAUGAAAAAGCAAACAAAAACAAUGAAAAGAGAUAAAAAUGGUUUGGAGCAUGGAGGAGCUAAAGUUUCUACAAAAUCAUGACUUGAUGACAAAGCAAAAUAUAGUUAGAGGAGAUGAGUUGUACAAACCUGCAGGGCCUGUGGAAAUUGGAGGAUAUGUUGCGAGGAGAGUCACAUCAAAAACUGGGACAAUUGAAGUGGCCGGAGAUCCAUCAAGCAGAGGGCUUCUCGUACGAAUUGCCAAAAAGGAGUCCAAAUUUGAAACGGAUGAUUUUGUAGGGGAGGAGUGGACUUGAUGAACUUCCUGAAAUAGUAAAUCAUCGUCACUCCCAAGUUCGAACAAACCAAAUGAAGGCCCAUCUUCAAGUGUCCCUAGCCUCCUUGUCAAAUUGACAUGUGCGAAGCUUGGGUGGCGAGGGGACUUUGCUUCAGUGUUGAUUACCUUGCUGCAUAAAUCUUCUCCCUUGCCAUUGCUCUUAUCAUUCCCAUAGCUUUGAUCAUUUACCUUGCUUUGAUCACUUGUCUUUGUGUGGCAUUGUUGUUUUGACCAACUUCCGUUGUUGGACCACUUUUCUUUGCCCCAUCCGGUUUCUUGGACUGCUGCGGAGAUGGUACAUUGGCGGGCUGCUUCGGCGAUGGUACAGUGGCAGGCUGCUCCGGAAACAUGCCUGCGGAAGAAGCUCCUCCUGGCACACUAAAUAUGAUGUCUUCACCUUUAUCUCUCUGCUCAUGAAUCCCGCGUUCAGCUUUGUGUGCCUCAGACAGCAUUAGGCCCAUUCGCUUAUUGUACAUGCCCUGCAAGACCCUCCUAAAUGAGUUGAAUGCAGCAUUAAGUUCUCUAGCAUGGAGCUCUUUGUGCUUGUUGUAUAUGACUUGCAUAUGUGUGGGCAGCUGCAAAAAAUGCAUAGAAACAAAAAGGGUAUUAGAUGCUAAUUGGUGUUGUUUUUGAUAUCGCAUUCAAUCAAGGUUGCAAAAUAUAGAAAAACAAAGAAAGAAGUUGCAGAAAAGAAAAAAGAAUCCACCUCUAGCUCCUCGAUUGUUGGCAAUGCGUGCAUCCACUCCUCCAAAGAGCCACAUACAUCGUCACCACUGUCCGUGUUAGCUGGAGGCGACUCAUGCACAAGCUCUGGGCUGCCAUUGGUACCCCCAGUACCGGCAUGAGGUGUGCCUUGAGAACCCACAUGUGCUCCCACAUGUACAUUUGCCUGCAUGUGGGAGCUCUCCGGCACAUCUGAAGUGUGUGUUGCGCCCCAACAACAUCCCCUUGGUCACCGAUUUCUGGCAACUCCUCUGUGACAAGGUCACUGACGGUUCCUUGGUGAUGCUGAUCUAUAUAUGACAUGAACUCAACUACUGCGUACGGUGUAGUGGUCUUGAACUACAUUUCAAAAAUGAGAAAGAAUUAAGAAUUGCAAUAGACAAAGGUCUUCUAUAUAAAAUCAAAAAGGUGAUGUCUUUCAGUUUCAAUUACUUACUGGACGCUUCCCAAACCCAUCAUCCAGGUUGUCCACUGCGACAACAACAUCAAAGUCCAUUUCAUGAACAAAACAAGCUCUAGGAAGCGAGUAGUUGAUGGUGUGAUUAACUAAGCAUCCUCUUGGCACAUCAAGGUGGUCCAUGUAAAUUAUCUGCAAAAUGCAAAAGACACAAAAAAGAAAAGAAAACAUUAGUGCCCCCAAAAAAGGUUUUUUAUCCCGGAAACAAAAGGAGUGGAAUGUUACAUGAAUGAAGGGGUUGUACCGGAAGCAUUGGUAGACAUCCACCAAUGCGAAAUUUCAGUUUACCCUCAUUCCUCUUAUCCUGGUAUUUUUUAACUUCUCUCAUCACAUCACAAAGGAUAUGCUCAUCCCACUCGAACUCAUGGACAACACUCAUAUCUCGUAGGGUGUAGAGAUAAUCUAGGGGUACCAUGUUUGCUGUCCUAGGAGCUAGGACCAAAGCUAGGCAUAGUAAUGCCCAUGACCUCUCGAUGGUCUCCUCCUCCUCAUCAUCUCCUCUAGAUAAAACAGCAACUGUGGUGGGUAUCGGAGCCCUAUCCCCGUCCAGAUAAACAUCACAGAAAUCAGCUUUGCCCCUCUUCCCGAACUCAACCGGUCUGCAACCAGAUGGUACAUUGAAUAUCUUCUUAACCAUGUCUCUUGAAAAUUGGAUCUCCUUGUGGUCAUUAAUCCUGCAAUUCACAAAAAUUACAAAAAUCAGUAGAUGUUGCGAGAAAAAAGAAAAAGAUGUUGUGCAACAGAGAGAAGAACUAAAAAGAGAUAUUACAUAUUUGAGCACACGACUCUUAGUCUCAAUCCUCAUAACUAUGAAAUCGAGAAGCCCUUCAGGAGGAGGAACCAAAGGAGAGAUAUAUAGCAAAUCCCCGAAGCUGGACUUGCUUAUUACAUCCCUCUUCUUCCCUUUAAUUAUGUUGGCUAUGUCGCGCAGCCGCUUUGCCGACCAUCGAGUUUGGUAGAUGGACAUGCUGUGAAAACAAAACAAAAAUGAAUACAUGGUGCUAUGAGCAUGCAUCUCUAGUGAUCUAAAAAGAAAUAAAAAUGUACUGAAACUAGUGAAAAAUUGCAGACAUGAUGAAAAUUUCACGGGAAAAAAGCUAACUUCAAGGAGGCCCAGCUAAUUUCAGAAAAACGAAAGCUAUUGACAGCAUUCCACAUAAGCAAAAAAUAUGAGCAAUGAGCAAGUCCUGCUAAUUCUUCUGCUGAAAAAGCUACAGCAAGUCCAGCUAAUUUUCACAAACUAUUCCAACUACGAGGUACAACGAAAAUGAGCUAAGAAACAUCAGCAACAAAAAAGGGGAGGAUGAGUUACAGAAACUAUGAGCUGGAAAAAUUCAGAAACUAACAAAAAAUGGGCUUCCUAUGAGCUUCAGAAAAUAAAACAAGGGGAUCCUACAGAAACUGCGCGCUCCAGAAAUUCAGAAACACACGAAUGGGAUCCCUGCAUCACACCAUAACCUAUGAGUUUCAAAACUAUGCGCUCCAGUGCUCAAAUUUUCAGCAGCAUAAAACUGAAAAAAUCGAUCCUGAAACUCGAGCAUCACAUCAGCACAUCGAAUCCAGCAUCACAUCAACAACACUAAUUCUCUACUACACAAACAAGUCCUACUACGUCGGCGACCUCCACACCCACACCGCAACCGAUCUGCUACAAUGCCGCAGAACUACCUACAAUGCUGCCAAAGUACCUACAACCGCUCUGCUCCAUGUCGCGCCGUCGUCUCCAUCACGAUGACAUGCCACCCCCUAUAAAUCAAGCCGCCCCGGGAAGAACGGCCACAAACGCCUACAAAUCGCCCAGAAAUGCGGGGGAAAGGAAGAUAGCAGGAGCUGUGAGUUUGUGCGGCAUAAAUCAUCUCUCUCUCGGCUGUAAGGUUUUCCUCUAUAUCUCGCUGUUCACGUGAUAGUACUUCGUGUUCAUGCCUAAAGCUUGCAGGGAUUCUGCAGUUUGAUCUGACAGAACUGACGCCAUCAAUCAGGUUGAGUUCAGGACCCGACGCCAUCAGGACCGGACCGAGCAACCUCAGACAGACAACAGACAAAAAUCGACCUCAUCCAGCCACCGCAGGCAGGCAAGAAUUGAAUCGAGUUCCCGCUGCUACACAGAUCUGAUCCAACUCACGGAAACUCUAUCAGUACUAGUACAUGCUAACCACGCUUGGAACAGUUUCUCUGCUAAGCCUAACACCCAGCUGACACUCAACGACACCGACACCAUGAAUCAGGUUGGAGCCGUCGUCCUGCGACCGCAGACAAGAAAGUGAAUCCGCUUCCCGCUGCAAAGCCACGGCACUCAAGGAAAACGAACAACGACGGAAACUCUAGCGAAAGGAGCAGGAAGAGAACUGAAGCGGAAACAAAAUCCAUCCGCCGCAGGAUCGAUGACACUGGUAGGUAGGUACCACGGGCGCUCCACGAUCCGGCCACCGAAGCGGGGGGGCGUUCCUCGGCGAAUUAAUCCCCGCGACCCAGAUCGAGUUCCCGGCAACGCACGUCAGACCCAGACCGCCCGCCGUACCUAUGUCAACUCGCGAACAAAUCCCUAUCGCCCACCCAAUUUCCGUCCAAGUAAAGAUGGUUAGCGAGGAGACACGGGGAAGAUUCGGUCCAUACCUUGCCGGUCAGGGUCGAAUCGCGGGGAGGGGACGACCGCCUGGGCGGCCGGUUGCUGUCGCCGCCUGCCGGCUGGACCGCUGGAGUUAGCACGGGGGAAACUGACGCGGAUUUACCCGGCUAAUCCGUCCGUGCCACGCGCCGGCUGCACGGGUAGACAGGGAGGCGAGCCAACCGCCCGACUGCGGAGCAGGAGGGAUCGAUGGGGGAGCGGAGGAGCACGAGGACGAGACGAGACGGGACGCGAGGUGUGGCUGGAGGCUGGCUGUGGGUGGCGGAAAUCUUUGGGGGUCGCCGCUACAUAUAUCCACGGGAUAGAAAGACAAGGGUACCGCUGCGCCGCCGUUACCUUGUCCUGGCCCUAGAUGAUGGAUCGGACAGUGUAGGAAGCACCGGUAGGAAAGGGGCGGGGCUAGGGUUGGAAGGGCCAAAACUAGGCAGGUGGUUGGAAUUUGAAAUGGGGGAGGGCGGGGUGGUGUAUUUGGUCCAAAAGUUUUUUUCCCUUUUGCAAAAUAUAACUCUUGUAUUACUCAAUACCAAAUUCAGGCCACAUAGUCGUUCGUUCGGCAUUAUGGUCUACCAAAUUGCCAUGAAAUGACUUACACAAUUUGUGGUUCAACAGACAUGAGAAAUACAAGAACCACGUUUCUUUUGUAAAAUUAAUAAUUGAUCUCUCUAAUCGGAAAAGCAUACUUCGAUUUGUUGAUCUCUGUGCUCUUCAUUAUUGAUGGUCUAAAAUUGUGAUGGUUGUUUUUAACUGCAGUCCCGGCUAUCCGUUAUGCGGCUAGUUAGUUCUGGCGCGAAAUGAAACUUAUUUAUUUUAUGACCGGCGACAUCGAACUUAUGAAAAGAUCACCGACACAUGAAGAACGCUUGGGCUCGCCGCAACAAAACUGUUAAAAAUUUACGUCAUCUCAUAGAACAACAUCAUUGUAUCACUCAAUUACGUGCACCACGCUACUUCACACUUGUAUAGAAUAAUGCCGCUAAAAGUUGUCCAGCUUCGAUAGCAGUUCAAGUAUUACACCGCCAGGGACAUGUUAUAAUUUGACACACGAACACGCCACCUUAGAAAUAGGUAUCCGUUGUGCUUAGGUAUAGGUAGGGCGCUAAAAGUUGUAGCGCAUCCAGCAUGGUGUAGGGUAGCCAGUUAUGAAAAAUUUCAAUCUAUGGAAAGUAUUUACUCACCACCAAAGUUGGCCUGCCAAGGAAAGCAAAUCUGCACCGGUGGUUUCUUUAGUUAUGGAAAAGCUGUCCAUUAAAUACUCCAUAGAUAUUCAGAAUAAUUCAUGAUACGCGCGCGAUUUCACUGCUGGUGUUUUAGUUACCCGAGUGCAAUUAAAUGUUAAUUUUAGGGAACUAUUUAGUGGCCAGCCUGGACAUUGCAAGGGUGCCACCCAGAGUUACCAAAAAUGUACCUUACAUGGACCAUCUGUGAGUAUAAUCCCAAUUAGGCGCUGGGAUAAAGCGAUUGGCUGUGUACCAUCCGUAAGUUCUGCUAAGUUGGUUACUAAUCAUGUGGUGUGGAGCUAUGGAAAGAAACAGAAAAGAGUGCGCCAUACUUGAAAGGUGACUAAGACCGGGAUCCCAUAGUUACAUAGGCUAUCACAUUCACUGGACCUUCAGCUGGUUUGAUCAGUCUUGCCUAGCGAUCUAAAUCGUCCGAUCUCAACCCUGACCAACCGCGACUGCUGGAUAUUUCAUGGAUCACCAUGAGCCAUUGGAAAUUUUACCGAUGGCAAAGGUGGGCUAUUCGGUAGUUUCGAUUGGAGCAGGAUCGACAUUUUGCAUCAGGAGAUAUGAAUGGCAGUCGCUGCGUGCUAAAAUCCUAGCUUGCCCCCACCUUUUCCUCGUCCCGGACUCAUCCUCUAUCUUCCCUGUGCCGCCACCCCCGCCUCCUCUUCUCCUUCCGCUCACCCUCCCCGCUCCACCUCCUUUAUCUUACUCGUGCCACCACCCCCGUGCCCUCCCAUCCCACUGCUCACCCUCCCCACCCCAUAUUCUCUAUCCUCCUCGUGCCGCCACCCACGCCUUCUCCCUACCGGCCGCUCACCCUCCCUGCCCCACCUUUGCUCCUCUCUGUUAUCGUGGUCAUGUAGCCACUGCGCUCCUCUUCCUUUUGAGACAUCUCUUUCCCCUCCCUCCACCCUGAUCCCGUCCUGACAAGCUAGGGCACUUGUCUUCACCUCCGCUCUCCCUCUAGGACAUCGUAGUCCUCUCGUAGUCGCCCACAUCCCCGUCUUCACACACUAUUUUUGGAUGCCACCCAUUCCAGCUUUCACUCACCGCCUCUCAUCGAUUCAGUAACCCGCCUUCCCUCACCAUCAUUUGUCAAUUGAGCCAUUCCAAAUACCAAGCGUACAAUUUGCCUAUGCUAGACAUGGGGCAAGGCUGCCUGGUGGGGCGCGUGGGAGGCCGGCACUGGUUGCAGGCGGCCUCACCAGAGGAGGCACGUGGGAGGCUAGUGCUAGUCACUCAGGCAGGCGGUUGAGAGGUGGAGCUCGCGAAGUGCUGGGGUGCGAGCACAUGGUGUGUGUGAGAGAGAUGUGCAAGGGGGAAGCAGUAGGGAGUUGGCUAGCGAUGACAACAUGGGAGAGCAUCCCAACAUGUGGAAUUCGUGUGGUAGGAAGGUCUCGGGCGUUAUGGCUCAGGGACAGGAGCUCGCGGGAGCGAUGGGAGGAAGAGAGGUUGGGGAUGUGUGAAAGAGAGAUAAUCAGGCUUUCGAGAGGGAGAGGUGAUUUUCUCAUGGUCCUUUGUUUUCUAUUUAACAUUCAUAUGUGUUCCUCCUUCUGCCAUGUAAGGUGCUUAUUGGAUAAAUAUUUUUUGUUCCCGCUUAUAAAUUUCAUGUCAAGUAGCUGUUAAUCCCGCAGUAUACUUACUCAUUUUUUUCAUGCACUGUCUACACUAGUACAGGAACCCCACACUAGCCGCGUGCAGCCCACACGCCCCUAGUUUCUCGCCUUUGGAAAGUGGUUACUAUUGACGUGCCGGUUGCACGCCGCUAGUAAGUCACCUACUUGUGGUGUGUUGGUAGCACGCACCUAGUAAGACACCUACUAGUGGCGUGCAAUAGGGUGGCAUGUCGUGGGUAGUAAAAACACUAUCGGCGUGCCGAUUGCACGCCGCUAGUAAGUCACCUACUUGUGGUGUGCUGGCAGCAUGCCGCUAGUAAGAAACCUAGAAGUGGCGUGCAAUAGGAUGGCAUGCCGGGGGUAGUAAGAACACUAGUGGCAUGCAUUUGAAUUGCACUCGGUGGGUAACACUACUGGUGAAUAUGAAGGCGCACACCACUAGUAAGUUAGAACACUUGUGGCAUGCUUACUUUCUGACACGCCAGUAGUAGUUUGUUCAGAGUAAAAAAAAUCUAUCAUGACAACAUUUUUUUGCUAUCCGGCUGUCGUGACAAUGUUUGCACAUACGAUUCAUAUAUUGAUAUAAAAAUAUGCAUUAAAUAGAUAAUUUAGAGUAUAACGUUUUACAUGAAUGAAAUGAUCCAAAUGGAACACAUACAUAACACAUUUAUUAUGCAUACAUUCACAUUCCGGAUUUGUAGGAAACAUUGUCUAGUUUCACGGGGACGACUCGGUCAUGGGAAUGCGGCUAGUAGGAAGAAAAAAGAUAUGAACCUAUGAUGUGUCGUAACAGAACAUAAUAUGAUGUGUUGAUGGACCUAUGAUGUGUCGUAACAGAAAAAAUAUGAGCAAAGAUCAUACCAAACAUAUAACAACAUACAUAAAAUAAAAUCCGUCUAUAUAACCUUAGAUACAAACAUAAAACGUGGCAAAACAUAGCAACAUUUGCCCAUACCACUACCGGGAAAAGACUUAAGCUGGCCCCAAGUUAGUGGCGGGAACGGACAUGAACCCGCCAUUGCUAAUUUAGAAAAGUAGUAGUGGCGGGUAAGAACUCAUNNNNNNNNNNNNNNNNNNNNNNNNNNNNNNNNNNNNNNNNNNNNNNNNNNNNNNNNNNNNNNNNNNNNNNNNNNNNNNNNNNNNNNNNNNNNNNNNNNNNNNNNNNNNNNNNNNNNNNNNNNNNNNNNNNNNNNNNNNNNNNNNNNNNNNNNNAACCGCCACUAAAAUAUGUAAAGCAGUGUCAGGCAGAAAUAACAACCCGUCAUACACUACUAGGAAAAAGCUUAUACACAGACACUUAUCAGUAGUGCUUGUUAAAGUGAAGCGCUACUGCUACAUAGCAGUAGCACGUGUCAGGACAGUAGCUCCUCCACUAUACUCUUGGUAGGCCAGCUUCUCUAUACCGAAAGCAAAAAUCCAAAAGAAAAAAAUGUUUUGUUAUGAUCUAAUCUGCGACCUUUGUUUCCUUCUAUGAUGUUGCAGAUACAACAUUGAGCGCCAAGCUGCUUAUUACUACACAGGCAACGUCUUCGGCAAGUUCUAGAAACAAGUGACAACGUCUACCGGCUACAUUGUCAACCAAGACCCUUUGUACCAAGGGCAAGGUCUCCUAUUCAAGCUAACAUCAAGCUUAUAUGAGAAUCCAAAGGUCUAUUUUGUGCAUGGAUGUUAUGAUGGAUGAAGGGGUGUUUCAAUGUAGUUGCCACUACUUUGAGAGGAAUGGCCUGGUUUGUGCCCACAUAAUAAGGGUGAUGGUGCACCUCAAUGUGCAAGUUAUUCUGAAGCGAUACUUGUUGGAGAGGUGGUCUGUAGCAGCGACAACAAUCAUGGCCAGAACUGGGAGAUUGCUGGACUUCGGGCACCCCUGAACAAACACGCUGAAAUACAACUCCCUGUGCCGAAGGUUGACAUGGCUUGCCUCAAAUGUAUGUUGGAAUGAGGAUGCCUACAAAAUAUUGAAUGAAGCAAUAAAUUUUCUUGAGCUUGCCAUAACAGUGGCGAGGAGAGGAGCCCUGCCAGCACAACAUGCAACACAGCAGAGUGAACCACCAACACCACCAGCUGCUGCAACAGUAACAUUGCAUGAUGACCUGCCAUAGCCUCAAAGCUUGGAGAUGCUGCAAAACCCGGCUCGUGUGCCUAAGAAAGGGAGACCAACUGAAAGUGUGAAGAGGAAGAAGACUCUCGUAGAGCAACGAGCAGAUGAAUAAAAAAUAAAGGUGAAACAACAAGAAAAGAAACCAACAGCAACAGGAAAGACAAAGAUAAUAGCUGAAAAACAGAUUGUUCGCUGUAAACAUUGCCAUGAAGAAGGACACAAUAUUCAGACACGUGGAGCCUAUAAAGCUGCAAUGGAGGCGACGGUAGCACCCCCUACAUGCCAGUUUUGUUAUGAGGUUGGUCAUGUAGUCCCAACUUGUGUGUAUAUUUCUAAGCUGUGAUGGGAAAUGCUCCAAAAAUUGCCCAAGCAUCGCAAUUGAAGCUCUAGAGAAGAGAUGAGAGAAACAAGGUAGAAAGUUUUUUUUUUGCAAAUUCCUUCUCAUUUCAAGCUCCAUUUCCCAUGUUUGAGAUACAUGUAUAAGCUAUUUUUUGCAAACUUGAUGAUGUAAUUGAGUUGUAUGUGAAAACUUGAAAUUCUAUGUUACGCAAAAACAGAAAAAAAGUUAAAAUUUGAGCUCAGAUUGUUAUGUGUGCCUGGAUUUGAGACAUACAAGCUCAUUGGUUGUCUAUGUAUAUUGCAUGAUUUUUUUGGUUUCGAUCGUAAAAUGGUUUGAUUGUGCAAUUCUGGAGCAAUAUGUUUCCGAGUGAACAUAAAAAGACGAUGUUACCGUGGCAUUUAUGGGAAGUUUCACUAAUGAAAAUAUUUAUACCAGUGAGCAUAAAAAACAAAGACUAAAAAAACGUAGUCAUUUCAUUAUCAUAUCUGAAAAAUUCAUCUCUACUGUACCACAAUGAUGCUUAGCAAUGGAUGAUGCUCUGACAUUCAAUAAAUAAAAGAAAAAGGAACAUCCCCAGCAUGACACAUGCUCUAGUUUGGGCUCCAUAGAGUACUAGAGAAGGUGAUAGGUAAUAUCAACUAGCUGAUUCCCAGUUACAUAAACGAGUUAGCAAGCAACAUGUUUCAGUUACAAAAAACAAAAUGAUGGACCCAAUAAUAGCCUAAGCAAAGUAGCAAGGUCUUGUCAUCCUGAUUGGCAUCCUCUAGGGCUCCAUCAUCUAUGACCUUUUCCCCUUCAACAAGGCCUGGAACUCUUCUGCUGAGUUAAGAGUGUUUUGCGGGUGCUUGAAAAGCUUUGCUGCAACAA
rnacentral:lncRNA from 1 species